rnacentral:tRNA from 1 species
AAACCGCUAUCGGCAAAGGUCAGCGAACAAUUAUUUUCACUUAAUGCACCAGCACCAAUACGGCAUAAGGUCUU